GCAAUGUACGAAUGUGUGUUACUGUAUCAUCUCGGAAUUAUUAAGUUUCCAAAUGUAAUUGGCGUUAUCGAUGGGACGCAUGUCCAGAUUCAAGCCCCAGUUGUUGAUGAACCGGCGUAUGUGAAUCGGAUGGGUUACCAUUCCAUAAACACACAGGGUGAUUUUGUCAUGUGCUGUAUUGCACAACAUAUGCAACAUGCGAAUCUGCCAAUGGAUCCUUUGGACAUAGAUGCCUUACCAGAUCAUCCUGAAAAUUACCAUGGAAAUGAAGAUGGCCUUCGUUACAGGAAUGUAGUAGCAAAUACAUUUUUUUAGAUCAUAGGUGUCGUGAUCUGAGAAAACUAGGCAUAAUGCAUGUGCGUAAAGUGUCAUCCCAGAUUAGCCCAGAUAUUGCAGUCCACACAGAAUAAUCAGGGA